rnacentral:rRNA from 1 species
GAUGAACGCUGGCGGCGUGCCUAAUACAUGCAAGUCGAGCGACCAGACGAGGAGCUUGUGCCUUUGCCGUUAGCGGCGGACGGGUGAGUAACACGUGGAUCACCUCCUUCUAAGUCUGGGAUAACUUCGGGAAACAGGCUCCACUACCGGAUAAUAUAUCGAACCGCUUGGUUCAAUAGUUAAAGACGGUUUUGCCGUCACUUUUAGCUGGUUCCGGGCCGCAUUAGCUGGUUGGUAAGGUAACGCCUUACCAAGGCAACGAUGCGUAGCCGACCUGAGAGGGUGAUCGGCCACACUGGAACUGAGACACGGUCCAGACUCCUACGGGAGGCAGCAGUAGGGAAUCUUGCGCAAUGGGCGAAAGCCUGACGGAGCAACGCCGCGUGAGUGAUGAAGGUCUUCGGAUCGUAAAACCCUGUUGUUGGGGAAGAACAAAUGUAGGAGUAACUAUGGACGUCUUGACGGUACCUAAAGAGAAAGCCACGGCUAACUACGUG